rnacentral:rRNA from 1 species
UACGUAGGGUGCAAGCGUUAAUCGGAAUUACUGGGCGUAAAGCGUGCGCAGGCGGUUUUGUAAGUCUGUCGUGAAAUCCCCCGGGCUCAACCUGGGAAUUGCGAUGGAGACUGCAAGGCUAGAAUCUGGCAGAGGGGGGUAGAAUUCCACGUGUAGCAGUGAAAUGCGUAGAGAUGUGGAGGAACACCGAUGGCGAAGGGCAGCCCCCUGGGUCAAGAUUGACGCUCAUGCACCGAAAGGCGUGGGGAGCAAACAGGAUUAG